rnacentral:rRNA from 1 species
UAAUGCUUGGGAAUCUGGCUUAUGGAGGGGGAUAACUACGGGAAACUGUAGCUAAUACCGCGUAGUACCGAGAGAUGAAAGUGCGGGACCGCAAGGCCGCAUGCCAUGAGAUGAGCCCAAGUGGGAUUAGGUAGUUGGUGGGGUAAAGGCCUACCAAGCCUGCGAUCUCUAGCUGGUCUGAGAGGAUGGCCAGCCACACUGGAACUGAGACACGGUCCAG